UAGCGGAAUGACAAUAAAGCUCAACUUGAACUUGAAUCAUCAGACACUCAAGAUGGCAAUAUCCUGGUGGCCUGUACAAGGCAAACGAAAACAAGGAAAAAAAUUACCUGGUGAAAAACUUUUAUGGAAGCUCUGCGAGCAGUCGACAUAUCAUGGGACGAGACAGAAGUCACGGCCGCGGAUCGAAGCCAUUGGUGAAUGCUUGUUGCCCUAUGCGCCUGAAUGGCGCCGGUGGAAUUAAGGUUAAGUUUUGCCUGUUGCUGGGAGAGAACCAUCCAUCCCUGUCUACCCGCUACCCGCCCCUGCUCUGAGAGACCGGCGGUCGGUCGCCGCUAUCGCUACAGACCCAGACUGCUGCCAAGGGGUCCAAUUCAAGUCACCUGCUAUCUUUU
ensembl:lncRNA